rnacentral:rRNA from 1 species
AGGGUCAUUAUGUACAGACUAUGAAGGCCUGGCUUCUUUUCCGGCUGACAUAUUUUUUCUUAAUGUCUUUUGCGCACUUGUUGUUUCCUGGGCGGGUUCGCCCGCCAGCAAGACCAAACCAUAAACCUUUAUUUAAUCCCCCAACCAUCAGCAAAGCUUGAAAGAAUGUAAUUAAUUACAACUUUCUGCCCUUUUCUCUUGGUUCGGGCCACUGUGAAUAACACAAUUCAAUGAUUCACUUAAUUCGAAUUGCAGAAUACGUGAAUCAUUUCAUCUUUGAACGCACAUUGCGCCCUUUGGUAUUCCCAGGGCAUGCCUGUUAAUUAAUUAUUUUGUUUUUACAGCUUCUGAUGGUGUUGGGUGUUUUUAACUCCUUAUUGUUGGGACACGGUGGCGGGCGAAUUGGCCACCGGCCUACUGGUGUCCGAACGAAAUGCAUAAUUUAAUCUUUGUAUCAGGAGAAAAGGACGGUAUUCCAUCUUUACUCUGUAUUGUUCCCUUUUGACGUUCACCUACGGAGACCUUCUUACUGAACUUAAGUCAUAUCAAUGACCAAAAGAA